CCUACGGGUGGCUGCAGUGGGGAAUAUUGGGCAAUGGGCGCAAGCCUGACCCAGCAACGCCGCGUGAAGGAAGAAGGCUUUCGGGUUGUAAACUUCUUUUAUGAGGGACGAAGGAAGUGACGGUACCUCAUGAAUAAGCCACGGCUAACUACGUGCCAGCAGCCGCGGUAAUACGUAGGUGGCGAGCGUUAUCCGGAUUUACUGGGUGUAAAGGGCGGGUAGGCGGGCUUGCAAGUCAGAGGUGAAAACUAUGGGCUCAACCCAUGGCCUGCAUUUGAAACUGUAGGUCUUGAGUGAUGGAGAGGCAGGCGGAAUUCCGGGUGUAGCGGUGAAAUGCGUAGAUAUACGGAGGAACACCAGUGGCGAAGGCGGCCUGCUGGACAUUAACUGACGCUGAGGCGCGAAAGCGUGGGGAGCAAACAGGAUUAGAUACCCGGGUAGUC
rnacentral:rRNA from 1 species